UUAGCUCAUAUUUGUAUGAAAUGGGAUCGUUUGCGUACGUUUGCCGCUAGGGGCGCUGUUCCAACUGCAUACAAUAUUGGGUUA
rnacentral:pre_miRNA from 1 species